rnacentral:rRNA from 1 species
UACGUAGGGUCCGAGCGUUGUCCGGAAUUACUGGGCGUAAAGAGCUCGUAGGUGGUUUGUCGCGUCUGCCGUGAAAGUCCGGGGCUCAACUCCGGAUCUGCGGUGGGUACGGGCAGACUAGAGUGAUGUAGGGGAGACUGGAAUUCCUGGUGUAGCGGUGAAAUGCGCAGAUAUCAGGAGGAACACCGAUGGCGAAGGCAGGUCUCUGGGCAUUAACUGACGCUGAGGAGCGAAAGCAUGGGGAGCGAACAGG